CCGUGCCAGCAGCCGCGGUAAUACGGGGGAUGCAAGCGUUAUCCGGAUUUAUUGGGUUUAAAGGGUGCGUAGGCUGUGAGGUAAGUCAGCGGUGAAAUGCCCCCGCUCAACGGGGUGAAGUGCCAUUGAUACUGCCUUGCUGGAAUGCGGAUGCCGUGGGAGGAAUGUGUGGUGUAGCGGUGAAAUGCGUAGAUAUCAGGAGGAACACCGGUGGCGAAGGCGGCCUGCUGGACUGCGACUGACGUUGAGGCCCGAAAGCGUGGGGAGCAAACAGG
rnacentral:rRNA from 1 species